AUAUUUACAGCUGCAGAACCCACGCAUUUGAAGGUUCGUUUCCAACAGUUCCAGAUUAGCAGAUGAAACGGCAAGGUAAUUUGCCCUCAUCAGGAGAAUCUUGCUAUGUCUGCCACGUUGGGGGUACGACGCGGGUUCAUCGUCCAACCGAAGCACUCUUUCACAGACCGCCCGUUGCAGAUACCAUUUAUGUGGGCCAGUGGACUUCAUAAAAGUGGCGAGGAAACAUUUCACGGACGACGCAGUCUUGGAUCCGGCAGGAAAUUAAGACAAGGCUGAACGGCUGCAACUAGACAAACAUUGUGUUUUGAGUCCAUUAAGUAGUAGUGCCGCAGGUAACCGGAUGCGUCACUUACCUGCGCACAACUGCUUGACUGACUUGAACACUUGCACAACAAUUCAAACUGCGAGACCCGGUCGUCCGGAAGCCUGAACCCCCAAGGGCCAGGAACGCUCCGCAAAGUUCACUAUUCAGUAUUCACGCAGUGCGCCAGCAACUGCUUUUGCGCCAGAGAAAUAUAACUCAUCAUCAGCCCCAGCAACUCAAACAGUUGCGCAGUACCAAUCUCCUAUCGUCAAUCGCUCGCACUCGAAUCACUGUAGCAUUACAGGAAAUGCUGAUAACGGUUUUUGUAGGAGCGAAAUUCAUGCAACGUGGCUAGAACUUGGAGAAUUCCACGUGAGACGGGUGGGACACGAAGGUCACUACGCUAUCAAAAACUCCCUCGCACAUACGCGCAUCGUGGAUUAAAGGAGCACUGAAGUCA